GACGAACGCUGGCGGCGUGCUUAACACGUGCAAGUCGAACGGAAAGGCCCUGCUUUUGUGGGGUGCUCGAGUGGCGAACGGGUGAGUAACACGUGAGUAACCUGCCCUUGACUUUGGGAUAACUUCAGGAAACUGGGGCUAAUACCGGAUAGGAGCUCCUGCUGCAUGGUGGGGGUUGGAAAGUUUCGGCGGUUGGGGAUGGACUCGCGGCUUAUCAGCUUGUUGGUGGGGUAGUGGCUUACCAAGGCUUUGACGGGUAGCCGGCCUGAGGGGGUGACCGGCCACAUUGGGACUGAGAUACGGCCCAGACUCCUACGGGAGGCAGCAGUGGGGAAUAUUGCACAAUGGGCGGAAGCCUGAUGCAGCAACGCCGCGUGCGGGAUGACGGCCUUCGGGUUGUAAACCGCUUUCGCCUGUGACGAAGCGUGAGUGACGGUAAUGGGUAAAGAAGCACCGGCUAACUACGUG
rnacentral:rRNA from 1 species